rnacentral:rRNA from 1 species
GAAACCCAGCAUGAGUUAUGUCAUGUUAUCGAUAUGUGAAUACAUAGCAUAUCAGAAGGCACACCCGGAGAACUGAAACAUCUUAGUACCCGGAGGAAGAGAAAGAAAAUUCGAUUCCCUUAGUAGCGGCGAGCGAAACGGGAAGAGCCCAAACCAACAAGCUUGCUUGUUGGGGUUGUAGGACACUCUAUACGGAGUUACAAAGGACGACAUUAGACGAAUCAUCUGGAAAGAUGAAUCAAAGAAGGUAAUAAUCCUGUAGUCGAAAAUGUUGUCUCUCUUGAGUGGAUCCUGAGUACGACGGAG